rnacentral:piRNA from 1 species
UGGACAAUAAGGUCAAGACUGAGGUGGU